rnacentral:rRNA from 1 species
UACGUAGGGGGCAAGCGUUGUCCGGAAUCAUUGGGCGUAAAGAGCGUGUAGGCGGUUCGGUAAGUCGGCUGUGAAAGUCCAGGGCUCAACCCUGCGUCGGCCAGGGAUACUGCCGCGGCUCGAGCACUGUAGAGGCAGGCGGAAUUCCGGGUGUAGCGGUGGAAUGCGUAGAGAUCCGGAAGAACACCGGUGGCGAAGGCGGAUCUCUGGGCCAUUACUGACGCUGAGGAGCGAAAGCGUGGGGAGCGAACAGG